rnacentral:tRNA from 1 species
AAGGCUUUAGCUUAAUAAAAGCGUCUGAGUUGCAUUCAGAUGAUGUAGGAUAGAAUCCUGUAAGUCUUA